rnacentral:rRNA from 1 species
UACGUAGGGGGCAAGCGUUGUCCGGAAUCAUUGGGCGUAAAGAGCGUGUAGGCGGCUCGGUAAGUCCGCUGUAAAAGUCCAGGGCUCAACCCUGGAAAGCCGGUGGAAACUGUCGAGCUAGAGUCCGGAAGAGGCGAGUGGAAUUCCUGGUGUAGCGGUGAAAUGCGCAGAUAUCAGGAGGAACACCAAUGGCGAAGGCAGCUCGCUGGGACGGUACUGACGCUGAGGCGCGAAAGCGUGGGGAGCAAACAGG